rnacentral:rRNA from 1 species
UACGGAGGGAGCUAGCGUUGUUCGGAAUUACUGGGCGUAAAGCGCACGUAGGCGGCUAUUCAAGUCAGAGGUGAAAGCCUGGAGCUCAACUCCAGAACUGCCUUUGAGACUAGAUAGCUUGAAUCCAGGAGAGGUGAGUGGAACUCCGAGUGUAGAGGUGAAAUUCGUAGAUAUUCGGAAGAACACCAGUGGCGAAGGCGGCUCACUGGACUGGUAUUGACGCUGAGGUGCGAAAGCGUGGGGAGCAAACAGG